UAACGGGUUAAAUUCAUAGGAAUAAUGGUAGAAAACGCAGGUAGAGAGGAAAUAUAUUUGUGGGUCAGACAGUAGCAGAUCUGCUAUAAAACUAAUGAACCUUAAGAUUCAGGGCCCCUUAUUCUGGAGGGGCCCCUCUGAAGCAACUUAAUUUUUUUCGUUCUGUCAAUUAUUAUUUUUUUAUUUUUUUUUUUUGUAUUUUACCAUGCAGUUUGCGUCUUAGUGGACGUCAUCUCAUACUCCUACACAGUCUGCUGGUGUGGAUUAACAUAAAAAUAAAGUACAAACGACUGACAGAUGAUUUGCUUUACUUGAAUUAUUUUGGAAACUUCAGCCCUACCCCUCCCACUGUCAAAUAUGUCUACUACUACAUCAGCACGGUAGAGAGGUCUAGGCCCCAAGAGGAAUAGCAAUGUCUUCAAGAAAGUACUUAAGCGGAUACCAGAAACGCCAACUCAAGGAAAAGCAAUCUAAUGAGAUUUCUAAAUGUCAAAAACUAUCAAACUAUUUUACAAUGUCAAGUAAAAGUUUGUCAUCACCUGCAACUGAAACAACCCAUACAAGAACCAGUGAAGUCAAUGAUAGGGUACAAACCACAAGUGCUCUGUUUAGCAAUAAUCAACCUACUCUUGACACUUUUGGUGCAGAUAAUGAUCACGGUGGUCAAGAACUUCAAGAAAAGAGAGAGCAGAAAAGGGAAACAGGAAGCAAAUUUAGUCAUUUCAAAGAAAACAGUGACCUGGCAAAUUGGCCUGUAACAAUUGAUAAUGAUUUCAUACAAAACUGUUUAAUGCAAGACAUCAGUUUUUUUUUGUUUUUUUUUUAAAUAAAAUAAAACAGAUAAUGUAUAUAUUGAAUCCAACAAGAUUUACAAACUGCAAAA